rnacentral:lncRNA from 1 species
AUGCACACAGAGAGAGAGAGAGAGAGAGAGAGAGAGGCAGAGACACAGGCAGAGGGAGAAGCAGGCUCCAUGCAGGGAGCCCGACGCGGGACUCAAUCCCGGGUCUCCAGGAUCACGCCCUGGGCCCAAGGCAGGCGUCCCCCCCUCCCGUUUUUAUUUCUUUCCCCUCCCUUUCCCCGCCUGGCGCAGGAACUCCCGCCUUCCACCCGCGCUGGCACCGAGAGCCCCCUCAGGGGGUUGAGCCCUGGCAGCAAAGCGAGGCGCGGCCGCCCCCAACAGCAGCGGGACCGAGGCCCGGCCCUUCGUCCUACCUGCGAGCCCCGGGUGCCCCAGUCCUCCGGGACACCCCGCGGGGGGCGCAGCCCAGGGGCUGACUUGAUAAAGUCGGAAACACGCCGGUUAAAGACAUAAGAUUUUGAGGCAGAAGUACCUUCCUAACUGUUCUUUGAAAAGUGUACCCUUGGAUCACUUGAAAGCUUCAGAAAAAGGAUAGUGAGGUAAGUACAAAUCUACUGGGUUUAGUAGAAGUAUGAAAUUGCUUAUCCUAUUUGAGCUUUUGUGUGUCUUUUAAAGGUUAUAUUUAA